UACAGAGGUCUCAAGCGUUGCUCGGAUUCAUUGGGCGUAAAGGGUGCGUAGGCGGCUCGGUAUGUCGGGUGUGAAAUUUCGGAGCUCAACUCCGAAACUGCAUUCGAUACUGCCGUGCUUGAGGACUGGAGAGGAGACUGGAAUUUACGGUGUAGCAGUGAAAUGCGUAGAGAUCGUAAGGAAGACCAGUGGCGAAGGCGGGUCUCUGGACAGUUCCUGACACUGAGGCACGAAGGCCAGGGGAGCAAACGGG
rnacentral:rRNA from 1 species